AGCGAACGCUGGCGGCAGGCUUAACACAUGCAAGUCGAGCGGACCUUUCGGGGUCAGCGGCGGACGGGUGAGUAACGCGUGGGAACGUGCCUUCCGGUUCGGAAUAACCCUGGGAAACUAGGGCUAAUACCGGAUACGCCCUUAUGGGGAAAGGUUUACUGCCGGAAGAUCGGCCCGCGUCUGAUUAGCUAGUUGGUGGGGUAACGGCCUACCAAGGCGACGAUCAGUAGCUGGUCUGAGAGGAUGAUCAGCCACACUGGGACUGAGACACGGCCCAGACUCCUACGGGAGGCAGCAGUGGGGAAUAUUGGACAAUGGGCGCAAGCCUGAUCCAGCCAUGCCGCGUGAGUGAUGAAGGCCUUAGGGUUGUAAAGCUCUUUAUCCGGGACGAUAAUGACGGUACCGGAGGAAUAAGCCCCGGCUAACUUCGUG
rnacentral:rRNA from 1 species